rnacentral:sRNA from 1 species
UCUUGCCAUGUUGAGGAUGUUGAGUCCAAACUUCUUAGCAGUAGUCAGGAUUUAAACUAAUAAAGAAUGCACAGUGUGGUUUCUUCUCAUGUCUUGAGAAUUAUCUGAGGCUAAACUGUGUUCGUGAGCAGGGUAUUGGAUGAAUACCAUUGGCACCAAAUAAGACCAUGUGCUUUGCUCCUAACAGAUAAUUUCUUUGUCUGUGGCCAUGGAAGCCAUCCCUUAAACCCCAUAGAUAAACUAUUUCCACCCUCAGUUAUAAAUAUUAUUUUUGAUCCCUAGGAAACUCUGUAAGAUAUGAAGAAGAAUAUAAUUAACUUAAAUGCCUCAUUUAACAUUUCACUUAAAGGCUUUGUGCCCUUCCAGAAUUUUCUAAAUAUGGUCAGAGUUCUCAGAAUAAAAUGUAUAGACACUGAAUGAAACAAUGCUAAGUAGCCACCAGGGGGCGAAAUUGUCUAUGGAUUUAAGCAGCACAGGCCAAAAAAAGGAGCCUCAGUUCAGCCUAGACGCCAUGUUUAUGUCUGUAUCUGAUUUUCUGUCAAGACUACAAAAAGGUCAAGUGGUGAUUCUAUUUCUCUUUAUUCCCUUGGUUUUAGAAUACUUCUGUUCCUGUCCAAGGCUGCUGUGGGAGCCAUGCGGUGCUGUGCCUGCUGUGUCAUUACCAGGCAUAGAAGAAGCAAGUGGAAAUGAAUCACAAAGACUUGCUCCAAGGCUACAGAAAGUCCAUGAAUCCAGGCACUGGGUAUAAUUGAUUGGAUUCCCUGAAAAAAGACCCAGAGAAGCCGCUGCAUGGAGCUGGAAAGAUGAAGCCCAAGUUACAGCAGAGGACCAGGAUAUUGGAGAGUCUAAAACUGCUUAUCCACUGAGGAAAGCUGCAAGAACACAGUGGAACAAGCCCAAGACAAAAGUGACAUGUGCUGUAGGUGGCAGAACUGGAGUGCUGGUACUACCCAAAUUUAGAGCUCAGAUGAUCCCGUCAUGAGUGCUGUAUGCUAGCUAUGGAGCUAUAGGAUUAGGUGUUGGUUGUAACUGGGGUUUUGUUUUGCUUUUUAAUCCAGCCUUCCUUGUUAUUCUCCCAUUCGCUCCUAUCUGGGGUGGGAACGUUUCUUUGUUUUUGUGUAUUAGAAGUGUUCAACUUGUGUCUUCAUGUCAUAGGUGCUCAAAUGAAGAGAUGGUCUGCAGUCUCAGAAGACACUGAUUUUUUUUUCAGAGCUGAGGACCGAACCCAGAGACUGAUUUUUUGAGCAGAGCUGAAACUGUUAAAGAGAGAGACCAAAUGAGACUUUAUGAACCAGGGUAGAAUAACUAAGGUGAUGUUUGAUGUCAGGCUUGCAGGAAGUAGAAUUAUAAUGAUUAAUUUUCAUUGCCAAUUUAAUAGGAUUUAGAAUCACCUAGGAGACAGCUCUGUGCUUGUAUGUAAGUGCAGAUCUAGACAGAUUUACCAUAGAAGGGAAAUUUCCCCUUAAAUGUUGUGACAUCCUAUGAACUGGGGUCCCAGACAGAAUAAAAAGGGGAACUGAGAGAAGUACCAGCAUUCAUCUCUUUAUGCUUCCUUCUGCCAUCUACCAAGUGUCAGGUGAGCGCAUUUCUGUUGGUCUGUUUAUGAGUUCUCUGUUCAUUUCUGGUUUAUGUCUUACGCUACCCCAGCAGCAAAUCUCAAUAGCCUUUGUAUAAUAAACAUUAAUAUUUGGUAGAGUGA